rnacentral:rRNA from 1 species
GACAGAGGGGGCAAGCGUUGCUCGGAAUCACUGGGCGUAAAGGGCGCGUAGGCGGGAUGGCAAGUCGGUCGUGAAAUCCUUCGGCUCAACCGAAGAACGUCGAUCGAUACUGCUGUUCUUGAGGGUUGCAGAGGAGACUGGAAUUCCCGGUGUAGCGGUGAAAUGUGUAGAGAUCGGGAGGAACACCGGUGGCGAAGGCGGGUCUCUGGGCAAUUCCUGACGCUGAGGCGCGAAAGCGUGGGGAGCAAACGGG